CCCGCCGAGGGGCGCUGCGACCGUCAGGCGACGGCCAGGCUCGGCGAGGUUCCACGCACCAACGGCGCCCGGUUGCU
rnacentral:ncRNA from 2 species